UUCCUCCCGUAGCCACUCACGAGACAUUCUUUCUUCCUUAAGCAUCAAUGGCUUCCAAUUUCCUUCCAAGCUUUCUUUAGAUAUGUAUUGUAAAGAUGAUUGUAUCGAAAUGGAGUAACCACUAAAUCUAAUUCAUAGGUCGGAUCUCUUCUCCUAUUAAGGUUGUCGAGAAAGAGAAAAGCUUGCAAAGGAAAUCAAACUUUAUGCCUUAUCAACCCCUACAACUUGAAAGCAGACCAUUCUUGCUCAUCAUAUAAAUGGUAACAUGUGUAAGUGCGUGGUUAGAGAGAAAAAAGACCCCAUGGAUCUGUUCUUGCUGAUAUUGCAUUGGCAACAAGAAACUAGAGAAAAGAAGUCAAAGAAAGAAGGAUAUGCAAUCUAGAGAGAUGUCUCAUCAUAUGGCUUCACAAUAUUGAUAAGUUAGUUAUAUACCCUCUAGUUGUAGGGUGUGUUCCGAUUGAAAAUGAUGUAUUUGAUUUAAUGAACAUGAGCAAUUGAGAGAGCAACUAAAAUUUGAUGUAUAUAAGAUCUCAUAGUAGAUGUUAGGGGUGAACAUUUGACCCGAAAAACU